CUUCUGUGUACCUCACUGGCAGUGUUACUGUAGUUCAUUUAAUUACAGUAAGUUGGGGGCUUCUGUGUACUUCACUGGCAGUGUUACUGUAGUUAAUUUAAUUACAGUAAGUUGGGCGGCUUCUGUGUACUUCACUGGCAGUGUUACUGUAGUUAAUUUAAUUACAGUAAGUUGGGCGGCUUCUGUGUACCUCACUGGCAGUGUUACUGUAGUUAAUUUAAUUCCAGUAAGUUGGGCGGCUUCUGUGUACCUGACUGGCAGUGUUACUGUAGUUAAUUUAAUUACAGUAAGUUGGGAAGCUUCUGUGUACCUCACUGGCAGUGUUACUGUAGUUAAUUUAAUUACAGUAAGUUGGGAGGUUGUGUGUACCUCACUGGCAGUGCUACUGUAGUUAACUUAAUUACAGUAAGUUACAUUGUGGGCUGUUUACUUAAUAUAAGUUAAGAUAAUUCUCUGUUUUCGUUAAUGACUGACUUAUUUUUUAUUUUUUUGCAUACUUUAAAAAAAAAAAUUGCAUUUGUAAAAGAAAGAAGUUGUUAACAAAAAUGUAUUGAUUAUUGUGGCAUUAUUCUAUAAGGCACUGAUAUUUUAAUUUAAUAUUUGAAUGAAGGAAAAUGCACCUCCAUCUUUAUAUUUACACAAGUUCCAACUAUAGAAUUAGAAUGACUUGUUAUGAUUCUAAGGUUCCGUCUAGCGGUGACUCGGAAGAGUUCCAACUGACCCUGAGCCAGUACCAACUCAGUUUGACUCAUCUAUCCUGUUCAUUCCUACCAGUAGAAGAAGCUCCUUCCCUCUGUUGUUGUCUGGUGCACUGUGUCAUAUGUACAGUAGCUUGUUAAUAUGGCAAAACAAAAGCGUUAAAUGUUUCUUUUUCAAUGGAAAGUGCUCACUGGUGAGAUUUUUAAAGUGGUUUUAAAAGCCAAUAAACUUUUUUAUAGAAUGUU